AUCUGGGAUAGCUCAGUCAGUAGAGCACGAGCCUCUUAAUCUCGGGGUCGCAGGUUCAAACCCCAUGCUGGGCA